rnacentral:lncRNA from 1 species
CUUGAAGAAGUGGAGGAGAGAUCUACACAACUUAAGUGGGGCAUCCCCAUCCCGUCUGCCUGCUCACACUCUUUUGCCCCCAACUUCAUCUAUGCAUCACCCUACCCCCCCAAAAGAAGUCACUCACUGGUUCUGUCUGCAGAGAGCCAGGGUGAGAACGGGCAAGGCGAGAGAGCGACCUCGGUCGUGGGCAAGUAGCUUGUUUUUACGUCCUUCAAUAAAAAUUUUAUGAGGAUCAUUUGAUUGUUCAUAAAUGUGUCUUUCAUUAAAUAAAAUUGUAGGCUGUUUUUGGAAUGGGAAAAAAGCAACAGAGGGAUGGGAGAAAGCAAUUUCUUUGGGGUCGGAUGUAGGAAAUCUGGAGGGGGCAGUGCGAUUGUAGGUGAAUAUCAGAGAACUUGGAUUAACCCCCCAAUAGUUGGUUGCUACCCUCCUUAAAUUUUGGGUUCACUGCACAGCCCUAGGCUUUACAUCAGACUGUCCCAUGGUGGCUUAGUAAGGGGGAGGGCAUUAGGCAAUCAGAAAACCCUCAGUGUGUGUGCAAGAGGGGGUAGGGAGAUUGGGGGCAGGAGAAGGACAGGUGAUUAUCCCUAGAGGUGGUGCACCUAGGCAGGGCAGAGUGAAUUUGAAGGAAGGGUGCAAUUUCAGGGUCAGAGGGAAGAGUCUCAGUGUGCUCAAGGGGAAAUAGGCAGGAGCUGGGGCUGAGAUGCUGGCUCUGAAGGCAGCAGGGAAGGAGGCUUCCCAGAUCCAUCCAUGCUUGCCCUGCUUUCCCUCUUCUAUCCCCAGGAGGGGACCAAAUGCCAGGGGUGGGGGUGAGUGCUGGAUUUCUCAUGUAUCUGGAUUGCUCUAUCUCCUCUGGGGUGAUAGAAGGGCUGGAGAGUGUAUUAGGUGUAUUUGGUGGCGUGGAAAGUUGGGGGGAGGGCACAGCUGCAGCUCCCAGCUCGGACCCCAGCUCCAUAGGUCCUCUCCCCAGUCCCUGCUCCUCCCCCUCUUCAGUUCUUUCCAUUUCGGUCUACCGGGGCUGGGAUUUCAAUGCACAGAGGACAUGAGGGAAAUAAUCUGACUGGGGAGAGGCAACGGGGGUCUGCAGCCUUGUCCCCCUCAGCUCCUACUGUCUUCUCCCUCCAUCUGGAUUGGCUGGGAAACCUAAAUUACAACAAGACAGAAAAUCUCUUUGGCCUUGAUGGAGUCGGGUUAGCUGUCAAUCAAAAAUCUUCCUCACUAGUUCAAGGAAAAGACGGAAGGUUCCAGUCCUUCUGCGGAGGCUUUCUCCAAAUCCCCAGUGCAGUCAGCACCUCCCCCAGCCCUUGGUGACUGGGGACCGGCCUGGCUCUUGGGCGGCUGCUGGCAGCGAUAAGCAGAGACAUUUAGCCUUCAGCGGGGCCCCGGGCCAGACUGCGACCAAGAGGACACCAGGGGACAGAGCCUGAGAGAGACUGAGACCCAGACAGCCUAAAACAGACCAACUGAAACAAGGCGCCAGGCCCAAGAAAGGAAAGAAGGAAACAGAGGAUUAGGAUAAAAAGAAAAGAGGUGGGGGAGAAGAAAGGAAGGAAAGUAAGCUGAAAAGAGAGGAGGGAAAGGAAGGCAUACAGAUAGCUAGCCCAAAGAAGGGCAGUGAUAAGCAGGCAGGCAGGCAGGCAGGACGGGGCAGGGCGAGAGCUGACGGAGCAGCCGUGGCAUUGUGCAGUCCGCUUGCUUGCCGGGCCUUUGCAGUGGGACCGACUCCGGGCGCAGCAGCCACUUCUGUCUGGACACAAAGGAGGAAGAGGCCUCUUCUCCUGCCCCUCCUGGGGGACCAGCUCCGGUGGGUACACUAAGCCUCCGGAAUACAGAAUCCCAUAUUGGCCCAGGCAGCCUCCCAGGCGACUGGAGGCUGAGCCAUGCUCUGGUCAAGGAGCGAAGAAACAGAAGGAGAAAGAGCUUUCAUGCCUGCUCCUCCAUUGCGUUUUCGCCAGGCAACAGGGCCUCUCUGCCCCAACCCCAGCUUUCCUGCAGGAAAGAGUCUUUAAAGAUCCUCUCCUAUGGACUUCUGCUCUUUGGGAGAGCCCCUCAACUGGACAUCGUGGCUAUAAAGAGACGCCCCCUUCUUUCCUAUCCCCUUUGAACACAGACUUCUUUUCAACUCUUGAGCUGCCUGAGCACUGGCCUGCCUACCCUGCGGAGUCUGCAGCAGUCAGGCGUCAGGAUCACCAUCCAGGGAUCUUUGCUGCCCAUUAAAUCCCCCAGGAAACCAAGGGGGAUUGUUGCCUUGCCUUUGCUUUUGGGAGCAGGAACUCCAACCCUCCCCACUAAGUCACAGGCACAGCUGUGGAUCAGGAAGCAGGCCUUGCCCACAGCGCCCUCCUGGCCAAUGUCCCAUUUUCCCUAUGCCUCUCAGAGAGAGGCAGCCGUGGGGAGGCCUUGGAGAGCCUGGGAGUCUUGAAGUCCAGUAGGCCCAAGUAAGACAGGUUCCACAACUACAUUGUGAGUUGCAACCCCUUUUUGCCACAUUUGGAGACAGGAUGGCAGGUCAGGGCUUUCAAGCAGGCUUUUAGACUUCCCCUAAACCCAGGCUUAUAGGUGUGGGGGGCACAAGGAUAUGGGGGCACCAAGAAGGAAGGGGUUAUCUUACUGGGGUUCAGUUACUCCUGCUGAAUCUUCCACCAUAUUUCAAGGUUCCCUCUCACCCACACCACUCCCUUCAAUUUUCCUUAGCACUGCUGGGACAAUUUGAGAGACUUGGGGGCAGCUGAGAGUCCCUGUUGGUGUGUGCAGAGGGGACCCAGUUAUAGCUAGCAGUUCUGUGAAUUCACUUAGAUUGCUUAACAUUCUUCUCCCCCCCCCCCACAAAGAUUUCACUGGGCACAGGAGAGUUCCUUAAGGGGGAGGGGCAUGCUUACUCUAUCACCUCAAACCUGGGCAGCUGAGACCACAAUCAAGCUAGCACCGUGGGAAGGACAGACAGACAGGUUAGAGUCAUCCCCUCCCCCCUGUCCCGCGUCUCCCUUUCAGUGAUUUAAAUUCCCUCCGGUUCAAUCCACACCGUCAAGUUCGGAUUAAAUUUAAAACAGGCUUUUCCCUAUGCCCCCAAUGGGCCAUCCCAGCCGCGGCAGGCUGGGAGCCCGCUCACCGCUCCUUAGUACCGGCCCUGCGCGGCGAAGGCCUUGCUCCAUUUGCUUUCAUUUUCCUUCUGCCCCUGAAAUGGGCUCAUUUCACCUCUCAGCUGUCCUCUCCCCUCCCCGCCCCCUCCCGGGUUCCCUUCUAUUUUCCCCCCCUUCUUUUCUGAUCCCUCUUUGUUGGGAAAAACACACCCCCACACAACUCCUCCUAGCUAAGGCCUGCCUGCGCUGGAAGCAGAAACUGAGUCCUCUUCGCCUGCCGCGAGGAGACCCGCGUCCUGCCCCCAUCCCAGGUGGGUAUCUCGGAUCCCUGCACACCCGGAGUCAGGCCCCCAAGCCCAGCAGGAGUGAAAUCCCCAGGGCCUGUGAACGUGGCCCUCUCAACGCCACGGCCUGCCGCCCGGCCUGCAUUCCCGCUGACGCCCCCACCCUGCCGCUCCGCAGCAAACGGGGCUAUUUCCGGCUCCCCCAACACGUUCUGGUUUUCCAGCCUGGGGAGUGGCUGGAGGGGGAGCCGCCCCAGAGCUAGGGCUGCCCUCUGCCUGGUGCCCCAGUGGCCCUGAGCGCGUUGUUACCUGAUCUUUUGUGUGAUGUAUGUGUCGCAAAGAAAUUUGCAGUGACUUUGGAGCCCAGACUGAGGAAGCCGAGGUAGCGAAAGGAGAGACAAUACCGGCCCGAAGUACAAUUAAGGGGCUAGAGCCUCUGGUCUCUCCCCCGCCCUCCCUGCCCGACUGGGAGCUGUCUUAGCCUCAAACCUCAGGGCGACUCAACGAACCUGGAGCCAGAAACUCAGCCCAUGGCGGGGAGAGCAAGAAGACUCCGCAUCAAGAAACCAGGGGAAAGCUCCCUUCCAAGUUGGGGGCGCCGUAACCCGCCCUGCUGAGUUGCAGAGAAUCCAAUGAAUGAAAGUGCGCAUUCCGACGACUAAUUUUCCCGAAUUGUCUCAGCCUUUAGAAGGAGAGCCUAGGGUUUGGGACUUCUCAGACAGUCAGACAAACCGCAUCUCCCGAGAUGGACAGACUCACAACAUGAGUGUGAGCCUGAAAUAAUAUACAGGUUCAACAUUCCCCGAGGCCUCCUUGCCAGGCCUGGCGGGCGCCGAUCUCCCUACCUUCUCUCCCGCCAAGGCCUCAGGCAAGAGACCCAGAAGACUCGGUCCCUCUGGCUUGGUCCAAUCCCGCCUCGGGAAGCGCCUUCGUUACCUGCUCCUCGGCUCCCCAUGGCCACAGAUGCAGGGCAGCAGCCUCCCGCCGCCGGGGGAGGAAAGCCCCGGCCACCGCAGCCGUCGCCACCCGCCCUCCUUCCCUCCCUCCCUCCAUCUCGCCCUCCCUCCCUCUCUCCCUCCCUCACGCGCUGCCGCUCGCGGGGCCCUCCCGCGGGCAACCUGCUCUGGACCAAAUCCAGGUAUCUCCGAAAGAGAAAAAAGAAAGGACCUCUUCUAUGAAAAUGGGGGGGAAAAAAAAGGAAGACCUUUAACUGCAUUUAUUUUUUCUGCUCUGACCAUUGGUCGGCCUCCGUUUAGAUGUCCAGGACACAGCCCAGAAGCCGCAGAGGUGUGCCGGGCCUGCUGCCUCGCCCACACUGACCGCCGCGCCCCCAGCACUGCACGCAGCACACCCUCUGGGCCGCCGCCCCCGGCAGCCCAAACACGCAACAGACCUCAAGGUCCUUCCUACAGACUCAACAUCCGGUUGCCGGCCUCGCCGCAGACCACAGCCCUAGAGCCCACUUUGCUCCGUCUGCGGCCAAAGUCCACACACGAUCCACCUUGUUGGUGCUCUAGCACCCUGCCCGGACACCCCUCCUAGUCCAGUCACCAGCUGAGCUACACUUGGGCUGCGGCGCUGCCCAGGACUUCAAACCUCAUCCCCUGAGUGGGACCCACACAAAGCCCGAGAAAAGCUGGCGUUCCCACCCGUAGCCCCAGGCUCCGGUUUCUGCCUCCCCCUUCACCUGUUCCCAAGAAGAACUUCCUUCAUCUCCAAGCGAGCACCGAGGCAAGGCCGAUGGCAGGGGCGAGGUCUCAGGGAGGCCACAGAGAUCAGUCAGGCUGUGCCGGAGCCCCCGCAGCCGGCGAGAUAUCUGAGAGACCAAGGCUCUCCUUGGCGAGCUCUUGCCUUUUCCGCCUUCUCCCGCAAGUCUCAAACACUCACACGCGGAGAGUUGAGCUCUAUAAAUCCUGCUCCUCUUUCUCAUAUCAUAAUUAAAAAAAACCAGUAGGGGAGGUUUUAACUUUUAUUGCGAUUUCUAGAGUUGGGCUGAGGAGCAUAUAUUAAGUUUACGCUUAUGUGCUCUCUGCGGGGAGGGUCCUUUAAGAAAUAAAAAUCCAUCUUAAUAUCCGCAGACGAGAGAGAUAAUUUUUCCCUCCUCUUCACGCUGUUCCUUCUGAAGACUCCCUUCCAGCGAAGCGAAUAAAUAAUUACCAUCGCCUUAGCCAUGAUCCACUGUCCCAGGGCCCUGAGGUGGACUCUGAUUACCAGACUGGCCCUCACCUUGGCCCUAUGAGACCUUGCUCCAUUUCUUGGGAUCCAGGGAGGAGGACCCAUUGACCCCUGGCUCUGUGAUCACCCCAUAUAAGCCCACUAGCUUUGAAAUGGAAAUGGGAGCAAAGGGACCCAAAUCACAGAAGUCGUUCAUUGGUGAAUUUCGGCCCAUCAGGGGACACUAUCUCCAAGUCAAGCGUUUUUGAGCACCCUGCUCCAGCCUGGGACUCCCCUUACCCCAAUCGGCUGUGUGCUUGGGUCAGACUAAAGACUCAAAGGCUUCCAGAGGGUCCCAAACCAGGGGAGUCCCUUGCUUGCCUCCCACCAGCUGGCCUGUCUCUCUGGAAACCUCCCCAUUUCCCUGCGAGCCAUAGAGAUUUGAGUACAUCCCUCCAAGGGAAGAAUUUUUUUCUCUCACAAAGGGAUAGAAGAUAGACUGACGAUUCAUUUGGGGGGAAGGAAA